GAUGAACGCUGGCGGCGUGCCUAAUACAUGCAAGUCGAGCGAAUUGACAGAGGUGCUUGCACCUCUCGAUUUUAGCGGCGGACGGGUGAGUAACACGUGGGUAACCUACCUAUAAGACUGGGAUAACUUCGGGAAACCGGAGCCAAUACCGGAUAAUAUUUAGCUUCGCAUGAAGCAAUAGUGAAAGACGGUUCUGCUGUCACUUAUAGAUGGACCUGCGGUGUAUUAGCUAGUUGGUGAGGUAACGGCUCACCAAGGCAACGAUACAUAGCCGACCUGAGAGGGUGAUCGGCCACACUGGGACUGAGACACGGCCCAGACUCCUACGGGAGGCAGCAGUAGGGAAUCUUCCGCAAUGGACGAAAGUCUGACGGAGCAACGCCGCGUGAGUGAAGAAGGUUUUCGGAUCGUAAAACUCUGUUGUAAGGGAAGAACAAGUACGUUAGUAACUGAACGUACCUUGACGGUACCUUACCAGAAAGCCACGGCUAACUACGUGCCAGCCGCCGCGGUAA
rnacentral:rRNA from 1 species